rnacentral:lncRNA from 1 species
CUCUAUAGGGGUGAGGAGGACUGUGCUGUGUAUCAUCCUUGAUUGUUCCUUCAAGGAGCAUUGCACUUGCCUUCCCAGACCUUCCACCUUAGGUUCUGCUGCAAAAAAGCAACAGUGCUGAAGAUGCUGCAAGCACCAAAUCAUAGCUCAUAGAAUCAGGUCCUGAGAUAGUUACUACCAAUAAAGAGGAAUCCUUUGAGUGUAUGCCAUUGGUGAGCCGAUGAGCAUGGACCAUAGAAGGGCUCCAUGUAGAAGAAACUACCCGUGUGUAAAAAGAAGAUUGGCUUUAAAAGGCAACUGUGAUGGGAACAGUGUCUUAGGGAGAUGCAGCUUGGACUUGAGACAUUUAAUCAUCAGUGAAGAAAGGGAAGUGAGAUAUGCGAGUCUCUUCACUGUGGCUUGCCUCCAGUAG